UACAGAGGGGGCAAGCGUUAUUCGGAAUUAUUGGGCGUAAAGGGCGCGUAGGCGGCUUGGCAAGUGGAAGGUGAAAUCCCUCGGCUUAACCGAGGAACUGCCCUCCAAACUGCUUGGCUUGAGUCCGGGAGAGGUGAGUGGAAUUCCCAGUGUAGCGGUGAAAUGCGUAGAUAUUGGGAGGAACACCAGUGGCGAAGGCGGCUCACUGGACCGGAACUGACGCUGAUGCGCGAAAGCGUGGGGAGCAAACGGG
rnacentral:rRNA from 1 species